rnacentral:rRNA from 1 species
GUAGUCAUAUGCUUGUCUCAAAGAUUAAGCCAUGCAUGUCUAAGUAUAAGCACUUUAUACUGUGAAACUGCGAAUGGCUCAUUAAAUCAGUUAUCGUUUAUCUGAUAGUACCUUACUACAUGGAUACCUGUGGUAAUUCUAGAGCUAAUACAUGCUAAAAACCUCGACUUCGGAAGGGGUGUAUUUAUUAGAUAAAAAACCAAUGCCCUUCGGGGCUCCUUGGUGAUUCAUAAUAACUUAACGAAUCGCAUGGCCUUGCGCCGGCGAUGGUUCAUUCAAAUUUCUGCCCUAUCAACUUUCGAUGGUAGGAUAGUGGCCUACCAUGGUGGCAACGGGUAACGGGGAAU